rnacentral:lncRNA from 1 species
UUGUUUUAUCAUAACAUUAAACACUUGUUAGUUACUUGCCUUUCAAAAUUAUCAAAAUAGAGAAAAAUCACAUUGAGGUGUCUAUGUAAUAAGUUCAUAUCGUGAUUAGAAUCUGAAAUGAUAGGGGUCAUGUUUAGGUAAAGAAUUGUCACUAAAGCACAACCUUUAUUUCUAGAAGGACUUCUACAGGCAGUGUGGAGUUGUUUCAAAGUGCUCUCACAGAAGAUGAAGGCUGUUCCUGAUAUCCAGAAGGCUCCUUGUGUCAGCUCUUCAGAGGCAAGUUUGCAAGCACCCCAGCUGUUCCUUAUCCUAUCACAGAAAUGUCGCCUGAGUUCUGGGGAUGAACAGAACCCUAUGAAAGAAAAUGUACAGAUCUACAGACACGUGGAGCUAUUGGUGUGCUGUGCAAACUAAAAUUCACUAGAAUACCCACCUCCUAAUGUAUUUGAGUUUAUAGGAUUCAGCUGUUGGGCCCAGAAGACUGGAAUUCUAGUGAGUUACUGGAGAUAGGCUGCAAGAAGAUACCUAGCAAAACUAUUAGAGAUAUUUGAUUCAGGCUCUUGAAGAAAAAGGGUAAGAAAUUGUCUUAUUUAAUGGAAAAGGUAUGUCAUUGGAGAACAACAGACUUAUUAAAUUUAUCUUGCUAAUGUUGACAAGUGAUGUGGAAAGAGGCUCCUGAGAGGGGAAAUUUUGUCUUAGUUUGAAAACAAACCCAUUGAGAAUUACAUAAGAUAAAUCCUAGGUUUUAUAUAUUUAAAAACUAUCUACUUUGAGAUUAGCACAUUUAAAAGACUCAAAUCAAAAUUGUAGUUGAACACAGUUUUUUCCUAUUACAUAUCUGUUGAUAUAAUUGUGAUUAUGAUAUAUUUGGAAUCAUAU